CCUACGGGAGGCAGCAGUGGGGAAUAUUGGACAAUGGGGGGAACCCUGAUCCAGCCAUGCCGCGUGUGUGAAGAAGGCCCUCGGGUUGUAAAGCACUUUCAGUGAGGAAGAACGCCUGGUGGUUAAUACCCAUCAGGAAAGACAUCACUCACAGAAGAAGCACCGGCUAACUCCGUGCCAGCAGCCGCGGUAAUACGGAGGGUGCGAGCGUUAAUCGGAAUUACUGGGCGUAAAGCGCGCGUAGGUGGCUUGAUAAGCCGGUUGUGAAAGCCCCGGGCUCAACCUGGGAACGGCAUCCGGAACUGUCAAGCUAGAGUGCAGGAGAGGAAGGUAGAAUUCCCGGUGUAGCGGUGAAAUGCGUAGAGAUCGGGAGGAAUACCAGUGGCGAAGGCGGCCUUCUGGACUGACACUGACACGGAUGUGAGAAAGCGUGGCUAGCAAACGGGAUUAGAUACCCUGGUAGUC
rnacentral:rRNA from 1 species